rnacentral:rRNA from 1 species
UACGUAGGGGCCUAGCGUUGUCCGGAAUCAUUGGGCGUAAAGAGCGUGUAGGCGGUUCGGUAAGUCCGCUGUGAAAGUCGGGGGCUCAACCCUCGAAUGCCGGUGGAUACUGUCGGACUGGAGUACGGAAGAGGCGAGUGGAAUUCCUGGUGUAGCGGUGAAAUGCGCAGAUAUCAGGAGGAACACCAAUUGCGAAGGCAGCACGCUGGGACGUUACUGACGCUGAGACGCGAAAGCGUGGGGAGCAAACAGG